AACGAACGCUGGCGGCGUGCUUAACACAUGCAAGUCGAACGCGAAAUUUUUCUUCGGAAAGAGAGUAGAGUGGCGCACGGGUGAGUAACGCGUAAGUAAUCUACCCUGGCAUCUGGGAUAACCCACCGAAAGGUGAGCUAAUACCGGAUACGUUGAUUUAUCAAGAAAGGUGGCCUCUAUUUAUAAGCUACUGUGCUGGGAGGAGCUUGCGUACCAUUNGCUAGUUGGUAGGGUAAAGGCCUACCAAGGCGACGAUGGUUAGCGGGUCUGAGAGGAUGAUCCGCCACACUGGAACUGGAACACGGACCAGACUCCUACGGGAGGCAGCAGUGAGGAAUAUUGCGCAAUGGGGGAAACCCUGACGCAGCGACGCCGCGUGGAUGAUGAAGGCCUUCGGGUCGUAAAAUCCUGUCAGAUGGAAAGAAGUGUAGGUGUGCUAAUAUCGCAUCUAUUUGACGGUACCAUCAAAGGAAGCACCGGCUACUCCGUGCC
rnacentral:rRNA from 1 species